rfam:Ornithorhynchus anatinus chromosome 2, whole genome shotgun sequence.
CACUUCUCAGAGUCAUACCUGGAGAGUUUCCAGCACUCUAACAGCUUCGACUAGGGGAGGGAGAGUCAAGCGGAGGCAUAUACAUUCCAUUCCUAGCUUGGCCAGUGGCUAGCGAGUGGAAGGCAACCUGCUACAAAU